GACGAACGCUGGCGGCGUGCCUAAUACAUGCGAGUAGAACGCACGGUUUAUACCGUAGCUUGCUACACCAUAGACUGUGAGUUGCGAACGGGUGAGUAACGCGUAGGUAACCUGCCUGGUAGCGGGGGAUAACUAUUGGAAACGAUAGCUAAUACCGCAUAAUAUUAAUUAUUGCAUGAUAAUUAAUUGAAAGGUGCAAUUGCACCACUACCAGAUGGACCUGCGUUGUAUUAGCUAGUAGGUGAGGUAACGGCUCACCUAGGCGACGAUACAUAGCCGACCUGAGAGGGUGAUCGGCCACACUGGGACUGAGACACGGCCCAGACUCCUACGGGAGGCAGCAGUAGGGAAUCUUCGGCAAUGGACGAAAGUCUGACCGAGCAACGCCGCGUGAGUGAAGAAGGUUUUCGGAUCGUAAAGCUCUGUUGUAAGAGAAGAACGGGUGUGAGAGUGGAAAGUUCACACUGUGACGGUAUCUUACCAGAAAGGGACGGCUAACUACGUG
rnacentral:rRNA from 1 species